rnacentral:lncRNA from 1 species
GGGAAUCCAGCUUUGGCAAAGAACUGCAUGAGAAAAUACAAUAUAUAUGGAGAAACUAUGUCAGCUUUUAACCUGUUAAUGUUCUAAAAACAUGAUUUUACUUGUGACAUGCAUGAAAACAGGAGAGUUUGGUAUAAAAUAUGAAUACCUGAGUUGCCUUUUGUGCAGGUCCAAAGUAUAUUGUUUGACCCCCAGAGAGAAGAAAGAGAUGAUCAAAGAGUGCAAAAACCUCACUACUUGGUUGGUGUAUAGAAGAGAUAACAGUCUUUGCAUCAUGAGCCAAAUUUCUGAGAGUUUGAGCAACAAAAUAUGCUGAAGCACUGUCAAGACCAGUGGUGGGUUCAUCAAGGAACAAGAGAGUUGGCCUUGUGAGGAUUUCAAGAGCAAUGCUCAGUCUUCUCUUUUCUCCACCGCUUAUACCUCUCAAAUGCCAAUUCCCUAUUAUCCGAUCUGCACAUUCUUGAAGACCCAUUUCCAUAAUCGUUCCUUCUAUUAUCUCAUUCACCUCUUCUCUUCUCAUGCUCCCUGGAAGCCUUAGAUUCGCUGAGUAAUAUAUUGUCUCUCUCACUGUCAGAGUUCCCAGCAUUGUCUCUUCUUGGGUCACGUAAGCCUGUCUCAUGUGUAAACAUAUCUCGUUAAUUAGC